UGUCGGCUGAGCGCGUACGUCACUUGUCUCUGCGCCAACGACGAUGACCGCGAGCAGACCGCGAGUCAUGCAGCACAUGCAGCUUUCGUCUUGACAACCACUGGACAACGUAGUCCGUGAACCGGUGUCCCGUAGCGACUUCGUCGUGACUGCCUCAGAGAACGUCUAGUACUGCCUUUGCUUGAUUGACGGACGUCGAGGGCGAAACAGAGCGAAGGUGCUGCAAUGCGCUGCCUUGCCACGACAAGUGAUGCAAGCCAGAAAGACCAUUACGUGAAGCAAUGACGGGCGAACAUAUACGUGGAGAACGAACGAAGUGAUUGUGCGAGCAGGCCAAGCCAGAAAGUUGCAAGGAAACUAUUAGUGCCACAAAACCAGCCACCGCCGCCUCUAGCACCAUCCGGUGCCCGUGCUGCAAGUACAGUCAUAACCCCUGUGGAGGGGAUCCGACCCCAUGGAGAACGCAGGGGCUGACGAGCUGCGUUUAAAUCAAAAUGUUACGAAGCCUCAGCGAGAGUGGAAAAGCUCGAGACUGAUCUUUGUUCCACACCUUUAGCUCAGCCAAAUAGCCCAGAGCUCCCAUAAAGGUGAUUCGCACAGAUCAUGGCUUGAAGCCGUCUGCUGCUUCAGUUUCUUACGCUUGGAUCUUCAGCAAAGGUGAACUUUGCUCGGGAGAUUGCGGCGCCGAUCGAGCGCACAAAUAUUCCGCAGGUCAUCCUUUGGCCGCAUCCCUUGGAAGCACAUAAAAUAAGCAUCGUGAAUGAUGAGUCUACUGCUUCCUUGUCAUACUUUAGGUGGAGAGCCUGUAAAAAAAAAAGUUAUAGAGUGAUAAAUAUCUAAAAGGACGGUGCCACCUUACAAUUACGGUGCUGAAGUGCGUGCCAACAAAUGCUGCACUUAAGUGCAAGGCUCAUUCUUAAAAGGUGUUAAGGGCCGGUUACACUCUUAAGUCAAAAGCUAAGUAUAAAGUUGGUUCUUGAAUGUGGCAGUUAGUGAUGAGAAAAAAAAAAAAA
rnacentral:lncRNA from 1 species